CAAUUUGUCAAAAGGCUAUUUUGACAAAUUUUACCUACCUCCACCCCACCCCCAGCCAUACCCCUACCCCAUAUGACGAAGCCUUGCUGUCAAAAAUGGAGGCCACCGAUUCUUCCGUUAUGUUCUCUCUCUCCCUUUCUCUCUCUCCCUCUCUCUCUCUCUCUCUCUCUCUCUCUCUCUGUGUGUGUGUAGAUUAACGAUAGCGAUCUGGUCGUGGUUAGGAUCGUCGAUAACCGUUGGAAUGUGAGGGAUGACUUGGGAUGGAGCGAAAUCACAGUCGGAGCAAGGUACAAAAAUUAUGGUUUUUUGGUUUAUUUUUCUUUUUCUUAAUUAGUUUUUUGAAUUUCUUUUUAUGGGAGUUUCUUGAGUUUUGUUCGGAUAAAGAGAUGGAAUUGAGAGAUGAAUUUUGCUUCGCAGUGGAGAACUUGUAAAGGGUAUGGUGGUAAUUUCAUUUUAUGGUAAAUUGAGAUUGAUGAAUGAGACAAAGAAAAGAUGAAUUGUGAGAAUAAUGAUUUGUGUCGAUGAUGAAAAUGAAAUGAAAUCAGGAGUGAUGCACAGUUUCUUUUUUCAA